UACGUAGGGAGCGAGCGUUGUCCGGAUUCAUUGGGCGUAAAGAGCUCGUAGGCGGCUUGGUAAGUCGGAUGUGAAACCUCCAGGCUCAACCUGGAGUCGCCAUCCGAUACUGCCAUGGCUAGGGUCCGGUAGGGGCCCACGGAAUUCCUGGUGUAGCGGUGAAAUGCGCAGAUAUCAGGAGGAACACCGAUGGCGAAGGCAGUGGGCUGGGCCGGCACUGACGCUGAGGAGCGAAAGCGUGGGGAGCGAACAGG
rnacentral:rRNA from 1 species